AAACUACGAUUAGAUACCCUAUUAUUAAAAGGUUAAUAGUGUCGUAAGAGUAGUAAUAGUUAUAGUCUUGAAACUCAAAGAAUUUGACGGUAAUUUAGUCUUGUCAGAGGAACUUGCCCUAUAAUCGAUAAUCCUCGUUAUACUUUGCUUAAUUUGGUUAAACAGCUUAUAUAUCGCCGUCAUAAGGAUAUAUUGGGAGAUUUAUAUUCGAGAAAUUUAAUAGAUAAAAUGUCAGGUCAAGGUGUAGUUAAUGAUUAAGAAGAGGUGAGUUACAAUAUGAUUUAGGUAUAUGGAUUUUAAAGUGAAAUUUUUAAAUAAAGGUGGAUUUGGAAGUAAGAUAUAAAAGAAAAUAUAUUUGAUAUAAGCUCUAAAUUAUGUACACAUCGCCCGUCGCUCUUA
rnacentral:rRNA from 1 species